rnacentral:rRNA from 1 species
GACGAACCGUGCGAACGUUGUUCGGAAUCACUGGGCUUAAAGGGCGCGUAGGCGGCUGCGCAAGUCGGGGGGUGAAAUCUUUCGGCUCAACCGGAAAAGUGCCCCCGAUACUGCACAGCUCGAGGGAGGUAGGGGCGGAUGGAAGCUUCCGGGUGGAGCGGUGAAAUGCGUUGAUAUCGGAAGGAACGCCGGGUGGCGAAAGCGAUCCGCUGGGCCUCUACUGACGCUGAGGCGCGAAAGCCAGGGGAGCAACGGG